rnacentral:rRNA from 1 species
CCUACGGGUGGCAGCAGUGAGGAAUAUUGGUCAAUGGACGCGAGCCUGAACCAGCCAAGUCGCGUGCAGGAUGACGGCCCUCCGGGUUGUAAACUUCUUUUGUCAGGGAGCAAUUGGGUCCACGUGUGGUCUUAGUGAUAGUACCUGAAGAAAAAGGAUCCGCUAACUUCGUUCCAGCAGCCGCGGUAAUAAGGAGGGUGCGAGGGUUAUCCGGAUUUAUUGGGUUUAAAGGGGGCGUAGGCGGAAUAUCAAGUCGGCGGUAAAAAUUCGGGGCUCAACCCUGACGUGCCGUUGAAACUGAUGUUCUUGAGUGCACGAGAAGUAUGCGGAAUGCGUGGUGUAGCGGUGAAAUGCAUAGAUAUCACGCAGAACUCCGAUUGCGAAGGCAGCAUACCGGCGCCCAACUGACGCUGAGGCACGAAAGCGUGGGUAUCGAACAGGAUUAGAUACCCUUGUAGUC